GAGUUUGAUCAUGGCUCAGAUUGAACGCUGGCGGCAGGCCUAACACAUGCAAGUCGAGCGGGGUUUUCGGACCUAGCGGCGGACGGGUGAGUAAUGCGUAGGGAGCUGCCCGAUAGAGGGGGAUACCAGUUGGAAACGACUGUUAAUACCGCAUAAUGUCUACGGACCAAAGUGUGGGACCUUCGGGCCACAUGCUGUCGGAUGCACCUACGUGGGAUUAGCUAGUUGGUGGGGUAACGGCUCACCAAGGCGACGAUCCCUAGCUGGUUUGAGAGGAUGAUCAGCCACACUGGAACUGAGACACGGUCCAGACUCCUACGGGAGGCAGCAGUGGGGAAUAUUGGACAAUGGGGGCAACCCUGAUCCAGCCAUGCCGCGUGUGUGAAGAAGGCCUUC
rnacentral:rRNA from 1 species